UGCACAGCAACUCCUAUCCCUACCUCCUCGCGGUACUGACUGAAGUACGAGCAACCUUAGGAAAAAUCGGGUAAUCAACCCCGGUGAGAACUUCGGUCGUAAGCUGACAGAGAAGG
rnacentral:ribozyme from 1 species